UACAGGGGGGGCAAGCGUUGUUCGGAAUUACUGGGCGUAAAGGGUCUGUAGGUGGCUUGCUAAGUCAGACGUGAAAUCCCUCAGCUUAACUGGGGAACUGCGUCUGAUACUGGCGAGCUUGAGUGCAGGAGAGGAACGCGGAAUUCCAGGUGUAGCGGUGAAAUGCGUAGAUAUCUGGAGGAACACCGGUGGCGAAGGCGGCGUCCUGGACCAAUACUGACACUGAGGAGCGAAAGCCAGGGGAGCAAACGGG
rnacentral:rRNA from 1 species